UGGGGAAUAUUGCACAAUGGGCGCAAGCCUGAUGCAGCCAUGCCGCGUGUGUGAAGAAGGCCUUCGGGUUGUAAAGCACUUUCAGCGGGGAGGAAGGCGGUGAGGUUAAUAACCUCAUCGAUUGACGUUACCGACAGAAGAAGCACCGGCUAACUCCGUGCCAGCAGCCGCGGUAAUACGGAGGGUGCAAGCGUUAAUCGGAAUUACUGGGCGUAAAGCGCACGCAGGCGGUUUGUUAAGUCAGAUGUGAAAUCCCCGGGCUCAACCUGGGAACUGCAUCUGAUACUGGCAAGCUUGAGUCUCGUAGAGGGGGGUAGAAUUCCAGGUGUAGCGGUGAAAUGCGUAGAGAUCUGGAGGAAUACCGGUGGCGAAGGCGGCCCCCUGGACAAAGACUGACGCUCAGGUGCGAAAGCGUGGGGAGCAAACAGG
rnacentral:rRNA from 1 species